rnacentral:ncRNA from 1 species
AUAAAAAUUUUAAAAGAUAAAUAAAUAAAAAUAAAUAAAAUUAAGAGAAGAAAACCAGGCAGGUAGUGGCCCCUGACACAAUGAAUUUUCCCAGAAUUGGAUUGCUUGGGAACACAGCCUGAAGAAUGUGGUAAACUCCAUCUAAGGCUAAAUACCAGCAUGAGACUGAUAAUAAACAAGUACUUUAUGGGAAAGCUUUUAAAAAAUUUUUUUAAAAAGAGAGUAAUUAUACUGGAGAAAGAGAAAUUAAGAUAGAAUAAUUCUUUUUUUUUCGAGACGGAGUUUUGCUCGUUACCCAGGCUGGAGUGCAGUGGCGUGAUCUCGGCUCACUGCAACCUCUGCCUUUGGACUUCAAGUGAUUCUCAUGCCUCAUCCUCCCAAGUAGCUGGGACUACAGGCGUGCACCACCACACCUGACUAAUUUUUGUAUUUUUAGUAGAGACAGGGUUUUACCAUGUUGGCCAGGCUGUUCUCAAACUCCUGGCCUCAGGUGAUCUGCCCACCUUGGCCUCCCAAAAUGCUGGGAUUAUAGGCAGGAGCCACUGCGCCUGGCCUGAAGAACAAUUUUUAAAAUAAUU